rnacentral:rRNA from 1 species
UGAGCGGCGGACGGGUGAGUAACGCGUGGGUAACCUGCCUCAUACAGGGGGAUAACAGUUGGAAACGGCUGCUAAUACCGCAUAAGCACACAGUACCGCAUGGUACGGUGUGAAAAACUCCGGUGGUAUGAGAUGGACCCGCGUCUGAUUAGGUAGUUGGUGGGGUAACGGCCUACCAAGCCGACGAUCAGUAGCCGACCUGAGAGGGUGACCGGCCACAUUGGGACUGAGACACGGCCCAA